rnacentral:tRNA from 1 species
CAGAUUAAAGAAUUAAUUUGGAUUUAGUUUUUAAAAAAAAUCUGA